rnacentral:rRNA from 1 species
UAAUACGGGGGGGCAAGCGUUGUUCGGAUUUACUGGGCGUAAAGAGCUCGUAGGCGGCUUGCUUAGUCGAACGUGAAAUCCCUUGGCUCAACUGAGGAACUGCGUCCGAUACUGGCAGGCUUGAAUCCGGGAGAGGGAUGCGGAAUUCCAGGUGUAGCGGUGAAAUGCGUAGAUAUCUGGAGGAACACCGGUGGCGAAGGCGGCAUCCUGGACCGGUAUUGACGCUGAGGAGCGAAAGCCAGGGUAGCAAACGGGAUUAGAUACCCCGGUAGUCCUGGCCCUAAACGAUGAAUGCUUGGUGUGGCGGGUAUCGAUCCCUGCUGUGCCGAAGCUAACGCAUUAAGCAUUCCGCCUGGGGAGUACGGUCGCAAGGCUG